CUGACUGUUGCUGUCCUCCAG
rnacentral:miRNA from 1 species